rnacentral:rRNA from 1 species
UACGUAGGGUGCGAGCGUUGUCCGGAAUUACUGGGCGUAAAGAGCUCGUAGGUGGUUUGUCGCGUUGUCCGUGAAAACUCACAGCUCAACUGUGGGCGUGCGGGCGAUACGGGCAGACUGGAGUACUGCAGGGGAGACUGGAAUUCCUGGUGUAGCGGUGGAAUGCGCAGAUAUCAGGAGGAACACCGGUGGCGAAGGCGGUUCUCUGGGCAUGAUCUGACGCUGAGGAGCGAAAGUGUGGGGAGCGAACAGG